AGCUUGCCUGCGUACCUGCCGAACGAUCGGCACAUACCCAGGCAGCCGAGGCCUUCAAGGCUGCGCACGCCCAGGCGUUGGCCGUCCCUGUCUCUUCACGUCGUCGGUGGCGUCAACGCCCAACGGC
rnacentral:ncRNA from 1 species